rnacentral:pre_miRNA from 1 species
UCCAAAUGAUACUUCUUCUAACAUUGCUGCACUGUUGGCAACAGUGCAGCAAUGUUGGCCAACAGUGCAGCAAUGUUAGAAGAAGUGUCAUUUGGAA